rnacentral:rRNA from 1 species
GACAGAGGGUGCAAACGUUGUUCGGAAUUACUGGGCGUAAAGCGUGUGUAGGCGGUCUCAUAAGUCGGGUGUGAAAGCCCCGGGCUCAACCCGGGAAGUGCACUCGAAACUGCGAGGCUAGAGUACUGGAGAGGUUGGUGGAAUUCUCGGUGUAGAGGUGAAAUUCGUAGAUAUCGAGAGGAACACCGGUGGCGAAGGCGGCCAACUGGACAGAUACUGACGCUGAGACUCGAAAGCGUGGGGAGCAAACAGG